CAACAACGACAUUGAUUUCCCAGCCAAACUUCAGCCAUGAAGAUUCUCUAUCUUCUCUUUGCUCUCUUCUUCCUGGUGCUGCAAAGCUCUCCAGGAUUCACCCAGUUCAUCAAUAACUCCUUUGCUUGUAGACGUGCUCGUGGCUCCUGCCGCCGUUUCUGUAUUGGCAGAUAUAGACUGAUUGGAACCUGCGGUCAAGGGCAGAAUUGCUGUAGAAGAAGGUAAAGAGAGUGAGUGAUGGCAGCAGAGAUUGUCAAUGCAGGAUCUCUGGGAAUCUGGCAGAAGACGCCUUACCUCUAAAAUCCUAGGAUGCUUUUCAUCUGAGCUUCAAAGAAUCUCGCAAGCUGGAAUAAACCCGCAAGGGAGCCCUUGUGUCCCCCCUAAUAGCUUGUUCCUCUCCCUU